rnacentral:rRNA from 1 species
GAUGAACGCUGGCGGCGUGCCUAAUACAUGCAAGUCGAGCGAAGCGGGGACGGGUGAGUACCACGUGGCUAACCUCCUAUAAGACUGGACUAACUUCGGUAAACCGGAGCUAAACCGGAUCCUCAUAGAUGGAUCCGCGCUGCAUUAGCUAUUUGUUAAGGUAACGGCUUACCAAGGCAACGAUGAAUAGCCGGACUGAGAGGGGGAUCGGCCACACUGGAACUGAGACACGGUCCAGACUCCUACGUGAGGCAGCAGUAGGGAAUCUUCCGCAAUGGUCGAAAGCCUGACGGAGCAACGCAGCGUGAGUGAUGAAGGUCUUCGGAUCGUAAAACUCUGUUAUUAGGGAAGCGGUACCUAAUCAGAAAGCCACGGCUAACUACGUGCCAGCAGCCGCGGUAAUUC